GACGAACGCUGGCGGCGUGCUUAACACAUGCAAGUCGAACGGUAAGGCCCUUCGGGGUACACGAGUGGCGAACGGGUGAGUAACACGUGGGUGAUCUGCCCUGCACUUCGGGAUAAGCCUGGGAAACUGGGUCUAAUACCGGAUAGGACCACUGCCUGCAUGGGUGGUGGUGGAAAGCUUUUGCGGUGUGGGAUGGGCCCGCGGCCUAUCAGCUUGUUGGUGGGGUGAUGGCCUACCAAGGCGACGACGGGUAGCCGGCCUGAGAGGGUGACCGGCCACACUGGGACUGAGAUACGGCCCAGACUGCGACGGGAGGCAGCAGUGGGGAAUAUUGCACAAUGGGCGCAAGCCUGAUGCAGCGACGCCGCGUGAGGGAUGACGGCCUUAGGGUUGUAAACCUCUUUCAGCACCGACGAAGCGCAAGUGACGGUAUGUGCAGAAGAAGGACCGGCCAACUACGUGCCAGCCGCCGCUGUAA
rnacentral:rRNA from 1 species